GUUUUUGCAAUUAAAAGUUUAAUAGAUCAUUGGUAGCACGGCCCAAAAUCUACAGCAAUAUUAAAAAUUUAAAUAAAACUUACCAAUGCUUAGACUUUCUUCAGACUCAAGUUCAUCGUUUUUUAACAUGUCCAAUAUGCGUUGUGCUCUGGAUGACAUGGUUAAACUUUUAACUAAAUUCCUUCAACUAGACCAACAAAAUAAUCACAGAAGAAAA
rnacentral:lncRNA from 1 species